GACGAACGCUGGCGGCGUGCUUAACACAUGCAAGUCGAACGGAAAGGCCCUGCUUGCAGGGUUCUCGAGUGGCGAACGGGUGAGUAACACGUGGGUGAUCUGCCCUGCACUCUGGGAUAAGCAUGGGAAACGGGGUCUAAUACUGGAUAGGAGCACUGUUCAGUGUGAUGGUUGGAAAGUUUUUUCGGUGUAGGAUGAGCUCGCGGCCUAUCAGCUUGUUGGUGGGGUAGUGGCCUACCAAGGCGGCGACGGGUAGCCGGCCUGGGAGGGGGGACGGCCACAUUGGGACUGGGAUACGGCCCAGACUCCUACGGGGGGGAGCAGUGGGGAAAAUUGCACAAUGGGGGGAAGCCUGAUGCAGCGACGCCGCGUGGGGGAUGACGGGCUUCGGGUUGUAAACCCCUUUCGCGAGGGGCGAAGCUGUUUGUGACGGUACCUGGAGAAGAAGCACCGGCUAACUACGUG
rnacentral:rRNA from 1 species